CCUACGGGUGGCAGCAGUGAGGAAUAUUGGUCAAUGGCCGGAAGGCUGAACCAGCCAUGCCGCGUGAAGGUCAGUGCCCUAUGGGCGUUAAACUUCUUUUGUGCGGGAGCAAUAAUGGUCACGUGUGGCCUGACGAGAGUACCGUACGAAUAAGCAUCGGCUAACUACGUGCCAGCAGCCGCGGUAAUACGGGGGAUGCAAGCGUUAUCCGGAUUUAUUGGGUUUAAAGGGUGCGUAGGCUGUGAGGUAAGUCAGCGGUGAAAUGCCCCCGCUCAACGGGGUGAAGUGCCAUUGAUACUGCCUUGCUGGAAUGCGGAUGCCGUGGGAGGAAUGUGUGGGGUAGCGGUGAAAUGCAUAGAUAUCACACAGAACACCGAUUGCGAAGGCAGCUCACGAAUCCGCGAUUGACGCUGAUGCACGAAAGCGUGGGUAUCAAACAGGAUUAGAUACCCGUGUAGUC
rnacentral:rRNA from 1 species